UCAGAUCUUGAAGCUCUAAGUUGAAACCAUUGUUUCAUACCUGAGCUAUUUGGUCUUGAUUUGCACUCGGGGACCCUCCGUGCCGUUGAUAUUCCGUGAUCUUUAGCAUUAUCCGGUUAUUAUACAAGGAAUCCAAAGCAAUCUCAGGUGCUGUCUUGAGAUGAUUGUUGAUGCAUGCUACAUUUAGGAUGGACUCGUGCCUUAGCAACUUUAAAACUUGGAAGAUCAUAGUUGUACUUAUGUGCUGUCUUGAGAUGAUUGUUGAUGCAUGCUACAUUUAGGAUGGACUCGUGCCUUAGCAACUUUAAAACUUGGAAGAUCAUAGUUGUACUUAUGUGAUUGUAAUAGAACAACGAGUUCAUUUAAUCAAUAAAACAAUAUU
rnacentral:lncRNA from 1 species